AACCGGAAAGGUCUCACUCAACUCGUCCCCAAGGUCUCUGGGUAGAAGGGACAAGAAGGGAAAACCUGCCUCCUAAGACACCCCACUCAGCACCCCACCCCCCAGAUGCAAGACACAGCUGUGCAUAGCGGUGGCAGUGAGGACCCUGGCCCGCAGUCCUCGGGCAGCCCCACGGUGAGCUGUGAGGAGCCAGCCCAGCACGGCACACAUGAAGGAAUAGAGAAGGAGCUUCUACUGCUUCUGUAGAUGUAGAAACCGAGGCACGCACAGACAGGUCAUGCGUGAUAUUGUUUGGACAUUGUCCUCUCCAAAUCUCAUGCUGAAAUGUGAUCCCUGAUGUUGGAGGUAAGGCCUGCAGGGGCAGCGGUUGAGUCAUGGGGGCGGAUCUCUCAUGGAAGGCUUGGUGCCCUCCCCAUGGUCAUCAGGUGCGGGAGAUCUGAUUGCUAUAAAGAGUCUGGGAGGGCUGGGUGCGAUGGAUCACGCCUGUAAUCCCAGCACUUUGGGAGGCCGAGGUGGGUGGAUCACAAGGUCAGGAGUUUGGGUCCAGCCCAACCAACAUGGCAAAACCCCGUCUCUAGUAAA